UACGAAGGGGGCUAGCGUUGCUCGGAAUUACUGGGCGUAAAGCGCACGUAGGCGGCUUUCUAAGUCGGGGUGAAAUCCUGGAGCUCAACUCCAGAACUGCCUUCGAUACUGGAGAGCUCGAGUCCGGGAGAGGUGAGUGGAACUGCGAGUGUAGAGGUGAAAUUCGUAGAUAUUCGCAAGAACACCAGUGGCGAAGGCGGCUCACUGGCCCGGUACUGACGCUGAGGUGCGAAAGCGUGGGGAGCAAACAGG
rnacentral:rRNA from 1 species